ACAAUUACUUUGAACAAAUUAGAGUGCUUAAAGCAGGCUCCAAAUGCCUGAAUAUUUUGUGCAUGGAAUAAUGAAAUAAGACCUCUGUUCUACUUUCAUUGGUUUUUAGAUCAAGAGGUAAUGAUUAACAGAAGCAGUUUGGGGGCAUUAGUAUUACGACGCGAGAGGUGAAAUUCUUGGACCGUCGUAAGACUAACUUAAGCGAAAGCAUUUGCCAAAGAUGUUUUCAUUAAUCAAGAACGAAAGUUAGAGGUUCGAAGGCGAUCAGAUACCGCCCUAGUUCUAACCAUAAACGAUGCCAGCUAGCAAUUGGGUGUAGCUACUUUCAUGGCUCUCUCAGUCGCUUCCCGGGAAACCAAAGCUUUUGGGCUCCGGGGGAAGUAUGGUUGCAAAGCUGAAACUUAAAGGAAUUGACGGAAGGGCACCACCAGGAGUGGAGCCUGCGGCUUAAUUUGACUCAACACGGGAAAACUUACCAGGUCCGAACAUAAGUGUGUAAGACAGAUUGAUAGCUCUUUCUCGAAUCUAUGGGUGGUGGUGCAUGGCCGUUCUUAGUUCGUGGAGUGAUUUGUCUGGUUAAUUCCGAUAACGAACGAGACUCAAAUAUAUUAAAUAGAUGCUUUCAGGAUUAUGGUGCUGAAGCUUGUGUAGCCUUCAUUCAUGACUGCAGUAAAAUGUAUAAGUGUUUGAAUGUGUUUAUUCAAGUGGAGCCGUACCUGUUGGUUUGUCCCAUUAUAAGGACACUAGCUUCUUAAAUGGACAAAUUGCGUCUAGCAAUAAUGAGAUUGAGCAAUAACAGGUCUGUAAUGCCCUUAGAUGUCCUGGGCUGCACGCGCGCUACAAUGAAAGUAUCAACGUGUAUUUCCUAGACCGAGAGGUCCGGGUAAACCGCUGAACCACUUUCAUGCUUGGGAUUGUGAACUGAAACUGUUCACAUGAACUUGGAAUUCCCAGUAAGUGUGAGUCAUUAACUCGCAUUGAUUACGUCCCUGCCCUUGUACACACCGCCC
rnacentral:rRNA from 1 species